UAAGUCAGACGCAAAGCUACAAGGUUUCGCGUCAAAAGGAAAAAAGUCCGCCAGCGAGGCUAAGGUACAUAAA
rnacentral:rRNA from 1 species